rnacentral:lncRNA from 1 species
GGGUGUUUUGUGUGACUGGUUCUUCUCGCUUGUUCUCGUGCACGUUCUCAUAUUUGCUCACGUGCUUCUGUCUCUAGGUCACAGUCUCUCCCUCUUUGCCUGGUCAGAGCUUCCAAGAUCCUCAGUUCCCUGUCCAGUAACUCCGAUGUUCUUUCUCGUGGGUAUCGCACCCAACUCCGUGCACGUGCUCUUGGAACCUCUUGUCUUCUCUGCAUCUCUUGCCCAUC